rnacentral:misc_RNA from 1 species
UCUUAGCUUUAAUCAUUUUGCCUCUUAAUUAAUUAUGGGUUAGUCCUUCUCAUCUCCUUUAUAAUUAAUGGACACCCACCUUAUUUCACAUGAUAGCAUACAUAAUGCAAUGAUGCCUUUACCUUUUUCACUUCCAUCUACAAUUCUAAACAAAAACACUUAUAAUUACCUAGAGCAUGCAUAAUUAACGUUUUGGUUAUUGACAAUUCCUCAUUGCUUGCAUG